ACGGGGGGGGCAAGCGUUGUUCGGAAUUACUGGGCGUAAAGGGCGCGUAGGCGGCCUGCUAAGUCGGACGUGAAAUCCCUCGGCUCAACCGAGGAACUGCGUCCGAUGCUGGUGGGCUUGAAUCCGGGAGAGGGAUGUGGAAUUCCAGGUGUAGCGGUGAAAUGCGUAGAUAUCUGGAGGAACACCGGUGGCGAAGGCGGCUAUCUGGACAGAGACUGACGCUGAGGCGCGAAAGCUAGGGGAGCAAACAGGA
rnacentral:rRNA from 1 species